UGUGAUUAGGAAUCCAUCUUCAAUUAGGAAUCCUCUUGUGAUUAGGAAUCCAUCUUCAAUUAGGAAUCCUUCGUUGAUUAGGAAUCCUUCGUCGAUUAGGAAUCCUUCCUCGAUUAGGAAUCCUCCUUCAUGUAAGCACUUUCCUACUUCAACUAGGAAACCUUGUUCAAGUAGGAAUCAUCAUCUUCAAGUCUUCAAAUUCGUCCAAACCUUGGCUCCAAUUAUGUGAUAAUCAUUCCAAGCCCAAUUUUGCUCCAAAAAGCUCCAAAAUGCAUCUUCUUGCAUCCUUUGGCCUUAAAACCUGAAAACACAUAAAACUAGCUUAAAAGACUACUUUAACUAAGAAAACACCAUGGAAAUGCAUAAGAACUAGCUAACUAAGGCGCAUAAAUAUGCUCCUAUCAAAUUCCCCCACACUUAGCUUUUGCUAGUCCUCGAGCAAAACAAACAAAAGAAAGGAAACAAAACGAAACAAACUAACCAAAACAAAACCUAAACCUUCCAACGUUUGCCUCAGGGAUUUCCAAUGCACAUGACAUGUUAAAGAUUGUUAUCCCCACAUAUUUGAGUCAUCUUUACACAAGCACAUACUUAAUUAAAGCCACCACUUACUAGUUCACAAGUAAUCAAUUAAAACAAUGCUUUGAAUGUAGUAACAUGCCUUAGAGAAUUCCCUCAAUUCCUUACAAGAUAUGCACUCUAUUUUCACUCAGAUUUUCUAACUCCACACCCUACACUAGUCAUAUGUGAGAAGAUUGAUGUAGAUAUGAAAAUGAAUGCUCACAUAUAUGUUUCACAAAGAACGCAAUUUCUAGAGUUAAGAAGCAUGUUUAGAUAUGAUCUCAUGAAUGGAAUGCUACUACUUAGAUGCGAGAACCAGUGACACCAUAUGCUCAUACGAAAUUCAAACUCCACAAAUUGAAACACCUAACACUCAAGAUAGAAGUUAAGGGUUGUAAAUGGGGCUUGGGUGUUGGUUAACAAGGAAAGGAUAGGGAAAACAAACGUUCUUCAAGCAAUAAAGCAAAGCAAUGAAAUUGAGACUUAGAAUUCACUUAGAUUGCAGAAAUUAACUUUAAAACACAAGGGGAAGACUUAAACAACUCCUUAGGGCCGAAUUCAUUGUUUUGGACCCUUACUUCAACAAACAAUACUUUGGAACUCUUUUUCUCAACUUUUCAACUCUUUUUUCAAACUUUUCAUAUUUUUUUCUUCAAUUUUUCUUUUUCCACGAAAUUUUUUUUUUUUUUCUUUUCUUUUCUUUUCUUUGCCGUGCCUAUGGCACACAAUUCCUCAUGAAAAACACUUCCCCCAUACUUAUUUUCUGUCAACAUAAAUCAAAAGGAAUUCAAUUUGAAUCAUGCUUUACUAUGCUUCAAGAACAAGGGUAUGGAUAGUCCUAAUCUAGGCUAGGUGAGGGUAAUGUGGGUUAACAAAGAAAAAGGCUAAACAAGGCUCAACGGGGUUAAACUUAAACAUAUAAUGGAGUAGGGCACACGGCUUUUUGGCUAAGGUGGUGGUCACUACACAACUUCAUCUUGAAUAUGUGUUAUGCAAUUCAAUGACAUGCUUUGAAUGAAAUGGGCAUGAGUUCUAGCAUUUGGAACUAAAUGAUGAAACGCCUUCUAAGUAGCAACCAAGCAAGGAAUAAUGAGAUCAUGCAACGACUUAGAAAACAAAGAAUGCACAGAUUUUAACUCUCCAAAUAAACGUUUAGGCUCAAGUCUAACAAGGUUGUAGCGUUAAUUCGAGUUUCUUCCUUCAAGCAUGUUACAAAAACUGAUUUUUCCUUUAUGAUUGCAUGUGAAUUCAUAAGUUAUAACCACAACCAAGCAUAAACAAAGAGUAAAUCAAACUUUCAUCCAUGUUAAUCACUUUCUUUAACAGUCAUGCAAUUAAAAACCAAAUCCUCAUCAUUGUGUUGGAAGGUACCCUAAGACACAAACAAACAUACAAAAACAACUCUUUUUUGGGUUUUUAAAACAAAUUUUUCAAAUUUUUAUGUGAUUUUCGGAUUUUUACUUCAAAACACCCUAAAACACACCAAAACAGCUUAAAAACACUUUAAAAACAGCAAGGAAAAGUCUAUAAGUAAAGGUUGAUAAAAUCCCACGAAUUUGCAUCAAAAACACUUAUUUACCCCCCCACACUUAAAUCAAACAUUGUCCUCAAUGUUUCAAGCAUAAACUCACACAAAACACAAAGAAACACACAAACAGCAAGUUAAAAACAAAACUGGCAGAUUAGAAACAAGCAACACAGUGAAGGGUUUUAGAAACUCAAAUUCUGGUUGUUAGAGCAAUUCCUAGGUCCCACGGCAUUGUCCUCAAUCUUCCUUAUUUGAAUGCUUCUCUUUAAGCUCCCUAGGUCCCAGGCAUGGAUUUGAUCUUUGAAUGGACGAUGAUACUUGAAAUGAACCGGCAUUGGUUUAGAUUUAGUGUAGGUACCUGAUUCAUCAAAAUCAGCAAGUUAGUAUAAAAUGUAAUGGAAAUUGGAGAAGAUGACUUACUUGCUUUGUCCGACAAGAACUCAAUGACAAACACCACUCCUUUGAAAGUUUCAGGGAUAUUGGACUUGGCCAGAUUUACUAUGAUGGUUGUGACUUGUCCAAUGUCAUCAAUUCAACUUCUUUGGGCUUUGUUGUUUCAAAUUUGUCCUCUUUGAUGAAGUCUUGACAUUCUUUAGCCACCCACUUUCUCUUGAAUCAUUCUUCUUGGGAAAACAAAGGCCUUUGAAAUAUUCAACACGAUCUAGAACUUGCUUUGUUGCACCAAGAUUGGAAUAUCCUUUUGCACCUUUGGAAGAGCUUCCACAAUGUCUUUUUCACUCUCUUCUUGCUUGGGAAUCAAAAACCUGCUAGGAAAAGGGACAUUGGGAGGAAUAACAUUAGAAUGAAAUGAAAUUGGGACGUCCUUACUUGUGGUGGGUGGGUUAGAAGGCUUAGGGGGUUGCGACAAGGGUUGUUCUACCCUUGCCGUGUGUAUGUCUUCUUCCUCCUCCUCAAUCAGCAGCUCCUCAUCCACUUCUAGGCAAUGUUUGGACGUUUUUAGGUCAGCUCCAACCUCCAUAGCACUUCCCAAAGUGAUAGCAUCAUGGAUUUCAAAAUCUUCCUUCGAAUUUUCAAUAGUUGAGUUGGAAACUUCACUUUGCUCUUGAAUUUGUGCCAUGAACUCCAUAAUCUGCCCAAUAUGCUUCUCCAAUUCACCCGUCUUCUUGGUUUGAAUUGGCAUCUCUUUGUUUCGAUUUUCUACUUCCUGGUACAAAGAGGUGAGUAACUUAUUAAACAUAUCAUUAUCCAAAGACGUACCUGAAUUGAAUUGGGCAAAUUGUUGUGAUGGAUGUGAUAGUUCAUAUGGCCAAUGAUAGAACUCCUCUUCUUGCUGCCAAUAUCCACCUUGUUGAUCCUCCUUGGCUUGAUUUUGUGAGCCCUGCAACAAAGAAUUUAAUUCAUUAAGAAUUUGAUUAUAAUCUAUUGACGAAACCUAAAAUUUGAUUGAGCAUAUUGUAUAUAAGGUUGUGGUGGAUGCAUAGGUCUUGAAUAGAACUCUUCAUAUGGCUGCCAAUAUGCUUUGUGUUGAACUUGUUGAGCUUCCCACCACAUAGAGUUUGAAUGAUCACUCCAAUCGCUUUGUGGAUAUAGAUUAGCUUCGUAUCCUUGCCUAUAAGACGCACCAAAUGUAGGGACACUUUGCAUUGUGGUCCUUUCGGCAAUCUAUGACAAUUGAGAAGUAAGAUUUGCUAAUUGAGCUUGAAUGCUAGCAAAAUCCAUGUCUUACUUCUCUAGUACCUAAAAUCAAAGAAAGAGAACUAAAUCAAAUAUCAAAAGUAACACAAAACAAGGAAAACAAAACUAAGUCAGAAACUAAAACAGAAACAAACUAAACAAAAAGAAAAGAACCAAGGGAUUAGCAAAUACUUUGCUACAAUUGUCAAAAGAGGGUUUAAUUUGUGUGCUUAAUAUAUUUCGCAUCAAAUUUUUGGCGCCGUUGCCGGGGAUUAGGAGGGAUUGCUAAACACUUGAAAACUGAUUUAAAAACUUAAAAACAAAGUUUAAAACACUAAUUUGGACUCAAAGAAUGAAAAACUAAAGUUUAAAACACUAAAACAAAACAAAAACUCAAAACAGCAACUAGAAGACUCAAAACUGUCUAAAAACCACUUUCUGGGCAGUUUUGAGCACCUACACUAAUUUGGACGAAAUUGGGUGACAACUUGACUCAAAAUACUUAAAAACAUAAACCAAAACACUUUCUAACUAAAUUAAGACUUCAAAGUAAAUGAGGAUUUGAUUUGGACGAAAAUAAAUUUGAUAAAACAGAUUGCAAAGUAAAACAGAUUUUGAAAACGUUUUUGGGGUUUUAAAUGGAUGAUGGACUAGUUAGGGGCUCUUUCUCCACACAUGACAAGUAUGCAAACGACUCAAUUUCCAGUUAUUCCUUCGUUGAUUAUGAAUACAAUGCCCCAAAUUAACCGUGACAUCACUAGUUAAUUCUCAAGUUUUCCUUGUGUUAUUGGAUUGGAUGACAUCAUUCGACAACCCAAGCAUUCCUCAAAAGUUCCUACAUGACAUCAUAAUAAAGAUACAAUCAAAGAUCAUUGCGUUCAAUGAAAACUAUAAGCAUUGAAAAGCACUUGCAACUAUGACAUCAUGUCACUCAUGCUAGGAAUUGAACUUAACGCGAUCGUGACUAGCGACCUUCAUACAUAUGAAUAUAAGUGUGUGACGAUUAUGUGAAACAACCUUAUAUUCAGCAACAUAUUCAUGCAAGCCAAUUAAGUGUCGACCCCUAAUUAACAAACACAAAUAAGUUAUUACUCGCACAAUUAAGCCAAUUGCAUUCACGAUUCAAGAACUCAUAACUAGAAUUUAUCAAUCAACUUGCAUACAUAGUCAUGGCUUCGAAAUUACCCCUAACCAAUAGGGGUUUAGCCACUCAUGUUCGUAGCAAAACGAAAGGAAAAUAAAUUAAACAUUGAAAUCAUAAAACGAAUUACACCUAGAAUGCACCAGCGAUGAAGCUUAAGCAUCCAAGAGUCCUUCCUUCUUUCUCCUUGCUGCUGCACACGAAUGGGUGAGUUUUGGGGGUUAUGAAUGGUGUAGAAUGAUGGGUUUAUGGCUGGGAUAGGUGUAUGGGACGGCUAGGGUGGUUUUUGGUCAGAAAAUAUGGUGAAUGGUGAAGGAUAGGUGCGGCAGAGAGAAGUUGGUGAUGUUUCUGGCGUGAAUGGGACUGAAUGGGCAGAUUCUUGGGUAUUUGAAUGAUGUAGAAUGGAUGGAGGAUGUAUGGAAGUGUUUAGGGUUGUGGGUGGUGCGGCUAGGGUGGUUUUGUGGCAGAAAUUUGGGUGAAUGGUGAAGGAAUGGUGCUGUUGAGAUGGAGAAUGGUUUCUGGCGUGAAGGAUUAUUUUCUGGAUGAAUGGCUAUGUUUGUGGCUGCACAAACAUGUUUAUUUAAAGGGAUUAGGAAAUUAAAAACCCUAGGCUAAUUAGGUAAUCAGAAAUUAAGUCUAAGGAUUCUAGAAUUAGGAAAUAAAUCAGAAAAUUAAAGGAAAGGGCAAGGGAAAUUCGGCUAGGGUUUAAAACACAAAAGGAAGGUGUUUUUAAAGCAUAAAAACAGGAAAUAAGGAAGAGGAAAUGCAAGGGGGGUGUGGCAAGGGUUCAAAGGGUUCUAGGCUUUGUUUUGUGUCCUAGAAUGGUUAGAAAGUCUUCAUAAUUGCUGGAACUUUUAGGACAAUUAGGAAAAAAUCAAACCAAAGUAGGAACCUGGCUUAACUUUCCUACUUCAAGUAGGAAUCCUUGUUGGAGGAGGAUCCUUGUUCUUCUAGGAUCCUCAUGUGAUUAGGAAUCCAUCUUCAAUUAGGAAUCCUCUUGUGAUUAGGAAUCCAUCCAGGAAUCCUUCGUGAUUAGGAAUCCUUCGUCGAUUAGGAUCCUCCUUCAUGUAAGCACUUUCCUACUUCAACUAGGAAACCUUGUUCAAGUAGGAAUCAUCAUCUUCAAGUCUUCAAAUUCGUCCAACCUUGGCUCCAAUUAUGUGAUAAUCAUUCCAAGCCCAAUUUUGCUCCAAAAAAGCUCCAAAAUGCAUCUUCUUGCAUCCUUGCCUAAAACCUGAAAAACACAUAAAACUAGCUUAAAAGACUACUUUAACUAAGAAAACACCAUGGAAAUGCAUAAGAA
rnacentral:lncRNA from 1 species